rnacentral:rRNA from 1 species
CUACGGGCGGCUGCAGUGGGGAAUAUUGGACAAUGGGGGAAACCCUGAUCCAGCAAUGCCGCGUGUGUGAAGAAGGCCUGUGGGUUGUAAAGCACUUUCGGUUGGGAGGACUGCUUCUAGCACUAAUAUUGUUGGAAGUUGACGUUACCUUCAGAAGAAGCACCGGCUAACUCCGUGCCAGCAGCCGCGGUAAUACGGAGGGUGCAAGCGUUAAUCGGAAUUACUGGGCGUAAAGCGCGCGUAGGCGGCUAGAUCAGUCGGGUGUGAAAGCCCCGGGCUUAACCUGGGAACUGCAUCCGAUACUGUCUAGCUUGAGUACAGGAGAGGAGAGUGGAAUUCCACAUGUAGCGGUGAAAUGCGUAGAUAUGUGGAGGAACACCAAUGGCGAAGGCAGCUCUCUGGCCUGAUACUGACGCUGAGGCGCGAAAGCGUGGGGAGCAAACAGGAUUAGAUACCCGAGUAGUC